AAAAGAUUGAAUCAUGUUUCACUGAAAUAACGUAUUGCAUUCUGGGGGAAGGAAAGAUCCCUCCAGAUCUCCAUAAAUGUAUUUUUUGCAAGCCAUAUAUGUUUGAAGCACUCUUUUAAUCUGUAUAAUAAUUGUCAGUGAGAAAUGUUGAUCCUUUAAUUAUGGAGUAAGUAUUACUGUUCACCUACUUAAUCAAAUUUUGGAGCUAGCUGUUAAUCAUCUGGAUUACACCUCAGGAUGUGUCACUUCCACCCCCUCAUACAAUGUGACUUUUGCGUAUGCUCAUGUUACAUGUUUGUCGUUAAGAUUUAAGGUAGCUUAAGCUGUUUUAUGAGGCUCGUAGCUGUAAAGUUUCUAGUCUUUUCAAAGCAGUUAUCUUUUGGUCACUCAGUUUUGGUGAGAGGCAUGCUUACCUUCAUGGGGGUGUGUUGAUAUUACGUAAGUAAAUAAAUGGGUGUGUAAGUCACCUUUUUAAUACAGCUGAGGGGGAAGUCAAACCAGAAAGUCACAGUAUAAUGAGAUCCCUGUGUCUCGGUACUUGUCCCACUGCAGUUCAGCUUCAGCCUCUGAGCUUGCAGCUGAUUCUAAAUGAGUGUGCUCUUAAACAGUGGUUUUAAUGGUACAGUUGAAUGUCUGUGGUCCAUGAAAUGCAUUUGAUUAAAAUUGCAUGCCAGGUGACAUAAAUUGAAAGGAAUAAAGCAGACUUAUAAUUGCAAGGUAGAAGAUAGUUUUAGGAGAGUAGAACUAAGAUGAUGACUCUGUCUGCAACAAACAAGAUUAAUUUAUCCCUUAUGUUUCCUUGGUCACAGGCUACGGACUAGAUCUGCUAUGAUCCUCUGCCAAAGCAUGAGGCACAGAGAGAAUCAGGAAAGGAAAGGCAGAGCAGAAGACAGACCACACAGAAAUGAGGAGUGCGCUAGUCAUCUGUUAAGCCCUUGGUUCACCACUGGAUGGCAGUCCCUGCCACGCUAGUCGCUCUGGGAAGGAAAGGCUGGUUUUAAAAGCAGCAUACGGAAAUCUCAUCCUGCUUUGGACGUGAAUAUGUACAUGAAAUAUAACAGUGGUGAGUAUAUUUGGAUCCAUUUUUCUUGUUGCUAAAGUAUAUGUAUGUGAAAGAAUUUUCUGUAGAUUUCUUUCACUUGAAUUCAUUUUCCAAUUGAA
rnacentral:lncRNA from 1 species